CUGCUGCCUUCCGUAGGAGUCUGGUCCGUGUCUCAGUACCAGUGUGGGGGACCUUCCUCUCAGAACCCCUAGACAUCGUCGCCUUGGUGGGCCGUUACCCCGCCAACAAGCUAAUGUCACGCAUGCCCAUCCGUCUCCGGAGUUGCCUCCUUUGGCCGAAAGAAGAUGCCUCCCCUCGGCCACAUGCGGUAUUAGGCCGGAUUUCUCCGGGUUAUCCCGCUGAAACGGGCAGGUUGCACACGCGUUACUCACCCGUGCGCCGGUCGCCGG
rnacentral:rRNA from 1 species